rnacentral:rRNA from 2 species
UACGUAGGGGGCUAGCGUUGUCCGGAAUCAUUGGGCGUAAAGAGCGUGUAGGCGGUUCGGUAAGUCCGCUGUGAAAGUCGGGGGCUCAACCCUCGAAUGCCGGUGGAUACUGUCGGGCUAGAGUACGGAAGAGGCGAGUGGAAUUCCUGGUGUAGCGGUGAAAUGCGCAGAUAUCAGGAGGAACACCAAUUGCGAAGGCAGCUCGCUGGGACGUUACUGACGCUGAGACGCGAAAGCGUGGGGAGCAAACAGG